GGUUAGCUCAGUAGGCAGAGCGUUCGUCUCAUAAUCCGGAA
rnacentral:tRNA from 1 species